rnacentral:rRNA from 1 species
GCUUGUCUCAAAGAUUAAGCCAUGCAUGUCUAAGUGUAAAUAAGUCUAUACUGUGAAACUGCGAAUGGCUCAUUAAAUCAGUUAUCGUUUAUUUGAUGAUCUCUUACUACUUGGAUAACCGUAGUAAUUCUAGAGCUAAUACAUGCGUCAAUACCCUUCUGGGGUAGUAUUUAUUAGAUUGAAACCAACCGCUUCGGCGUGAUGUGGUGAUUCAUAAUAACUUGUCGAACCGCACGCCCUUGAGGCAGCGGUGAUUCAUUCAAAUUUCUGCCCUAUCAACUUUCGAUGGUAGGAUAGAGGCCUACCA